GACGAACCGUGCAAACGUUGUUCGGAAUCACUGGGCUUAAAGGGCGCAUAGGCGGCUUGCAUAGUCGGUGGUGAAAUCCUGCAGCUUAACUGUAGAAGUGCCUCCGAUACUAGCAAGCUCGAGGGAGGUAGGGGUCUGCGGAACUUCUGGUGGAGCGGUGAAAUGCGUUGAUAUCAGAAGGAACGCCGGUGGCGAAAGCGGCGUGCUGGACACCUACUGACGCUGAGGCGCGAAAGCCAGGGGAGCAAACGGG
rnacentral:rRNA from 1 species